UACGAAGAAUGGCAUGCCAAGGCGACACAGAUUGAUAUCAAUGCUGGCGCACAAAAAU
rnacentral:tRNA from 1 species